rnacentral:rRNA from 1 species
AUACGUAGGGGGCGAGCGUUGUCCGGAAUGACUGGGCGUAAAGGGCGUGUAGGCGGCCGAUUAAGUCUGGAGUGAAAGUCCUGCUUUCAAGGUGGGAAUUGCUUUGGAUACUGUCGGGCUUGAGUGCAGGAGAGGUAAGUGGAAUUCCCAGUGUAGCGGUGAAAUGCGUAGAGAUUGGGAGGAACACCAGUGGCGAAGGCGACUUACUGGACUGUAACUGACGCUGAGGCGCGAAAGUGUGGGGAGCAAACAGGAUUAGAUACCCUGGUAGUCCACACUGUAAACGAUGAAUGCUAGGUGUAGGGGGUAUCGACCCCUUCUGUGCCGCAGUCAACACAAUAAGCAUUCCGCCUGGGGAGUACGGCCGCAAGGUUGAAACUCAAAUGAAUUGGCGGGG